rnacentral:lncRNA from 1 species
NNNNNNNNNNNNNNAAUGCACUCCGCACCUCAUACCCUCCCAAAUCUCACCACCUCUGUUGCAGUCCUCCAAAUCCCCAACUCCCCCCCACCGUCUCCCCCACCUCCUCAGACAGCCUGGAGGCCCCCAGCCCUGCCACUGUCCCUACUGCCUGCUCGGGGGGGCUAGAUGUGUCCCCCAACCCUGGCUGAGACCCCCCGACAGGAGCUGCCACGCUCAGGCAUGGCAGGGGGGGGGUCCUCUGUCUGUGCCGGGGUNNNNNNNNNNNNNNNNNNNNNNNNNNNNGGCAGGGGCAGGGUGGCAUGAUGGUGGCAUCUCCACUCCUGGGAGUGGCUCCUGCUGUGCCCACCACAGGUCUCGUGAGGCUGCUGGUUGCCACCAUAGCAGGAGGAACUGGGAGCAAUGGGCAGGUGUGGGAUCCUGACACCCCAUUGAGACCUGCCCAACUUGGCGCUCGCAUGAAUCCUGCAGUCUCCGUUUUCAGCCUUGGUUACAGCAGUGUUGCUUCACUGGCAUCUGCGAAGUUGCUACUGAUUUGCACCGGGGAGGAGGGUGGUUGGGGGCUGGAGCUGGGCUGGGGCAGGAUGAUGCCUCUUUCCGCACAGUUGAAGCGGCUACUUCAGUGCUCGGUCGGGGGCCGAGGGAUCAAGACACUCCGCGAAAGAGGGCACAGGAUGGGGGCAAAGGCCUGGGCGCAAGCCAGGGCCAGCAAGGCUGCCUUCAUGCCAAACCUGUGCCUUGGGCACCUCCUGUAUUUUCUCCUACGUGGCGCCCAGGGAGGAAAACCAGCGGCGUUGAGCGCUUCGGGUGUCACAGUGCCACCAUCUAGGCCGCGGCUGAGUGCUGGCUCCUGGGGGGAUCCCAGCUCCGAUGGCGCUGGGCACGGAGCUGGUCCUCGCUGGCCACCCAGUACCUUGUGGCCAAAGCAGUCGGGCACCUGGGUCCUUUGGCAGUGCCAGUGUGCCUUGCUCAGCACCCACGGGACCCCAGGUGCAGGGCAUGUGUUGGGGCUCAGGGGCUGCCAGGG